AAAAUGGGGAAGUGACUGAGCAUUUUAUUUAAGGAGUUGCUGAUUUGCUGCCAUGGCACCCUCGCAGCUCAUUUUGUUGGUUUCCAGAGUUGUCGGUCAGCCAGAAUGUGAGCUGAAGAAGCUAGCUUAGAAUCCAUCAUUCUUCUUUAUUGGUAAUCAAGUUUUGUUAUUGCUUGAUCGAAGAAAUAUUGUCGGUAACUUGUGAAACCGAUUAACCGCGACUUGUCUUGCAUUUACCGUUGAAAAAAUAAAGUAUAUAGUUACGGUGAUUUAGUAUAAUUGAGAUUAUUGCAGAUUAUUGAAACUGAA